GACGAACGCUGGCGGCGUGCCUAAUACAUGCAAGUUGAGCGCUGAAGGUUGGUACUUGUACCAACUGGAUGAGCAGCGAACGGGUGAGUAACGCGUGGGGAAUCUGCCUUUGAGCGGGGGACAACAUUUGGAAACGAAUGCUAAUACCGCAUAAAAACUUUAAACACAAGUUUUAAGUUUGAAAGAUGCAAUUGCAUCACUCAAAGAUGAUCCCGCGUUGUAUUAGCUAGUUGGUGAGGUAAAGGCUCACCAAGGCGAUGAUACAUAGCCGACCUGAGGGGGUGAUCGGCCACAUUGGGACUGAGACACGGCCCAAACUCCUACGGGAGGCAGCAGUAGGGAAUCUUCGGCAAUGGACGAAAGUCUGACCGAGCAACGCCGCGUGAGUGAAGAAGGUUUUCGGAUCGUAAAACUCUGUUGGUAGAGAAGAACGUUGGUGAGAGUGGAAAGCUCAUCAAGUGACGGUAACUACACAGAAAGGGACGGCUAACUACGUG
rnacentral:rRNA from 1 species